rnacentral:rRNA from 1 species
UACAGAGGGUGCAAGCGUUGUUCGGAAUUAUUGGGCGUAAAGAGCGUGUAGGCGGCCAGGUAGGUCUGCUGUGAAAACUCGAGGCUUAACCUCGAGCUGUCGGUGGAAACCAUCUGGCUAGAGUCCGGAAGAGGAGAAUGGAAUUCCCGGUGUAGCGGUGAAAUGCGCAGAUAUCGGGAAGAACACCCGUGGCGAAGGCGGUUCUCUGGGACGGUACUGACGCUGAGACGCGAAAGCGUGGGGAGCGAACAGG